rnacentral:rRNA from 1 species
AUGGAGGGAAAGAAAAUAGACAUCACUGGACUACUUUGGCAGAUUAGGAUUGAAGCUACUGAAUAUAUGACUUACUUCAGUCGUGAGAAGAAACCAGCUGAGCGAAAAUCUGAAGUUUGGACCAAGCCGACUGACGGUGUGCUAAAGAUUAAUACUGAUGGCAGCUUCUGUGCGGCGUCAUCAUCAGGAGGGUGGGGCUAUGUCAUUCGAGAUCAUGACGGUGACGUUGUGGUAGCGGCUGCAGGAAGGAUAUCGCAUGCACAGGACGCCUUGCAAGGUGAAGCUGAAGCAUGCAUAUUUGCUCUAUACAAGGCGCAGGAGUUAGGCAUCACCAGGGUUGUGGUGGAGACGGAUGCAACGUUGCUGGUCCAUGCAAUCAAGUCGUCGAACUUUGAUCUUUCUUCUAAUGGGGUCUUGUUCAGGGAAAUAAAGACUUUUGCUAGUCUGAACUUUAGUUUUUUUUUUCAUAUUAUUCAUUGUCCGAGGGCUUGUAAUAAGGUUGCAAACGCUCUUGCGCUGUAUGGAGCUUGUACCCCAAGCCGUAUGGCCGGGUCUUGCCCCUACCUUUGCCCGGUCUUUUGUUGCUAG